AUUGAACGCUGGCGGCAUGCUUUACACAUGCAAGUCGAGCGGCAGCGCGGGGGGCAACCCUGGCGGCGAGCGGCGAACGGGUGAGUAAUGCAUCGGAACGUAUCCUGUAGUGGGGAAUAACUCACCGAAAGGUGAGCUAAUACCGCAUAAGCUCUGAGGAGGAAAGCGGGGGACCAAAGGCCUCGCGCUGCAGGAGCGGCCGAUGUCCGAUUAGCUAGUUGGUGAGGUAAAGGCUCACCAAGGCGACGAUCGGUAGCUGGUCUGAGAGGAUGAUCAGCCACACUGGGACUGAGACACGGCCCAGACUCCUACGGGAGGCAGCAGUGGGGAAUUUUGGACAAUGGGGGAAACCCUGAUCCAGCCAUGCCGCGUGAGUGAAGAAGGCCUC
rnacentral:rRNA from 1 species